rnacentral:rRNA from 1 species
ACGGCGAGUGAAGCGGUAACAGCUCAAAUUUGAAAUCUGGCCUCACGGUCCGAGUUGUAAUUUGUAGAGGAUGCUUCGAGCAUGGUCUGGCCUAAGUUCCUUGGAACAGGACGUCAUAGAGGGUGAGAAUCCCGUAUGCGGCCAGGUGCCUACGCUCAUGUGAAGCUCCUUCGACGAGUCGAGUUGUUUGGGAAUGCAGCUCAAAAUGGGUGGUAAAUUUCAUCUAAAGCUAAAUAUUGGCCAGAGACCGAUAGCGCACAAGUAGAGUGAUCGAAAGAUGAAAAGCACUUUGGAAAGAGAGUUAAACAGUACGUGAAAUUGUUGAAAGGGAAGCGCUUGCAACCAGACUUGCGCGCGGCCGAUCAUCCGGUGUUCUCACCGGUGCACUCGGCCGUGCUCAGGCCAGCAUCGGUUUUGGCGGCUGGAUAAAGGCCCUAGGAAUGUAGCUCCUCUCGGGGAGUGUUAUAGCCUAGGGUGCAAUGCAGCCUGCUGGGACCGAGGACCGCGCUUCGGCUAGGAUGCUGGCGUAAUGGUUGUAAGCGGCCCGUCUUGAAACACGGACCAAGGAGUCUAACAUCUAUGCGAGUGUUUGGGUGUCAAACCCAUACGCGUAAUGAAAGUGAACGGAGGUGAGAACCCUUAAGGGUGCAUCAUCGACCGGUCCUGAAGUUUACGGAAGGAUCUGAGUAAGAGCAUAGCUGUUGGGACCCGAAAGAUGGUGAACUAUGCCUGAAUAGGGUGAAGCCAGAGGAAACUCUGGUGGAGGCUCGCAGCGGUUCUGACGUGCAAAUCGAUCGUCAAAUUUGGGUAUA